rnacentral:misc_RNA from 1 species
GUAAACAUAUUAGUAAACUAAAAAGGCAAAUCAUGACAUAAACAUUAAGUCUUUUGCUCCGUCGAACAAGUUUGGAAGGUACUUUCUUCUUCUUGGAAGGUUUGGCUGCAGGUGGUUGAUAAACUUGAAUAGCCAAAGCAUUACGGGAAUCAUUCUCCUAUGAUUCAUCCUCAUCAAAAUGGCUUUGGAGAGCAGUAGACAUGCACUGAUAUGGGUUUUUCACUAUAGAUUUAACUCUCUUCUUACUGCUCUUAGCUUGAGAGACUUCAACUACAGGAAUUGUAGGCGGUGAAGAAAUAAGUAGAGCACCCUCCUACUGAACCUCUAUAGGAUAACCAUCCUUUUGUAUAGGCUCAACUUCAAGUUCUAUAACCUUUUCACUUUCAUGCUCUACAUCAGUAGUAGGUUCACCAAUCCCAGUACCUCCAAACUCAACAUUACCAUGAUCAGAAGCAAUUCCAUCAUGAUUGGAAUGAUCAUCAGCAUGUGGAUUAGUCUCAAUUCCAGUGCCAGAAUCAUGUCCCUAUGCCAGCUUAAGUUCUACAAUUUUCUUUUUUUAAAUCCUCAUUUUGAGCAAUUAAAUAAUCCACUUUGCAAUUAAAACCAUCCAUUAAUUUCUUCAAAAGCUCAAAAGACUGAUCAGAUGCACAAAAUUUCACAUUAAUACAUUCUUUCAAGCCAUGAAGCUCACUCAUAAUCUCAUUUUUAAAAUUAGAAUAAACUUUUGCUUUAGAGGAGCCGCAUUUUUCAAAUUGCUUCUUCGCACCAUCAUUAUCAGAAUGGAUUUCUCUAAGCAUAAUUAAACUUGCCCUAGAGCUUUCCUUAGAAACCUCUAUAUCAAGCUCAUUAAACAAAGUAGUUAAAAGGUGGGCAUAAGGUAAUUUUCCAAUUCCAUAAGCCUUACACACAUUCUUGAAAAUCAAAUAAGCCAAAUUCAUUCUCACUUUAUUAAUAAUAUGCCACAUGAUACACAUGUCCAAGUAGCUCAAAUAUUCAUAGUUGCCAGACUUAGGACAGAACACAUAAUUCACCAUACUAUGAAUAAUCUUAAUGUACUGAAAGGCUUGAGUGCUAGUGGAUUUUUUACUAGUCGGAGUGUUAGCAGGAAAGAUUUCAUUCUCAAAUUCAACCAAAUUAAAGCCUGAAACUCUAGCAACAUCUCUAUGAGCCGAAAUCCUAUUACCAUUAUUAGGCAAUUUAUAGACUUUAGCAAUUAAAUCAACAGAUACCACAUAUAUUUUGCCAUUCAAUGUAACCUUAAACCUGUCUUCUUCAUCAACAACUCUUAGAGUUAUAUAAAAAACUUAGACCAGUCUAGGAUAGUAAACAUCAGUACAUUCACACACAGUCAACCAUUCUUGAAAUUCAAAGAGCUCCUUAAAUUGAAAAUCAAUCUGGUCAAAAUUAGUCCACUUUAUAAACUUACAGUCCUGAAGCAGUUUUUCAACAAAGAGGAGCAGUGGAUUUUGAAGCAGCUUGUUCAUUUUGAAUGUUAAUUCGAUGCACUUUCCGUCCCCUCCGUUUUUCUUUUACAAUGAUCGUGGGUUCAUCUUCUUCAGACGGAACAAAGGAUAUUUCUUUAGAAUCAACAUCUGGUAAUUUCUUUUUUUCCUUUAAUUUUUUCUUUGAAACAGCGACAGGAUCUCCUUCAGAUGAAGAAGAGGACGACGAGGCUGUGGCUGGAGUUUUACGUUUGGUACAAGCCAUAGUUGAUAAACUAGAAACACAAGACUCCAAUUUGUGUAGGUACAGUGCAGAGAAGAACUAGAUUUUAAGAUGGUUUACGGUGCAAUGAGGGAUAAACGAUAGGCUAGGUUUAAAA